rnacentral:rRNA from 1 species
CCUACGGGCGGCAGCAGUGAGGAAUAUUGGUCAAUGGACGAGAGUCUGAACCAGCCAAGUAGCGUGAAGGAUGACUGCCCUAUGGGUUGUAAACUUCUUUUAUAUGGGAAUAAAAUGUUCCACGUGUGGGAUUUUGUAUGUACCAUAUGAAUAAGGAUCGGCUAACUCCGUGCCAGCAGCCGCGGUAAUACGGAGGAGUCGAGCGUUAUCCGGAUUUAUUGGGUUUAAAGGGAGCGUAGGGGGAUUGUAAAGUCAGUUGUGAAAGUUUGCGGCGCAACCGUAAAAUUGCAGUUGAAACUGGCAGUCUUGAGUACAGUAGAGGUGGGCGGAAUGCGUGGUGUAGCGGUGAAAUGCUUAGAUAUCACGAAGAACUCCGAUUGCGAAGGCAGUUCACUGGACUGCAACUGACACUGAGGCUCGAAAGUGUGGGUAUCAAACAGGAUUAGAUACCCCUGUAGUC